rnacentral:rRNA from 1 species
AUUGAACGCUGGCGGCAUGCUUUACACAUGCAAGUCGAACGGGGUGAGGGGGCAACUCUUCAUUCAGUGGCGAACGGGUGAGUAAUGCAUCGGAACGUAUCCCGUAGUGGGGGACAACGCCGCGAAAGCGGCGCUAAUACCGCAUAUGCUCUACGGAGGAAAGUGGGGGACCGCAAGGCCUCACGCUAUGGGAGCGGCCGAUGUCCGAUUAGCUAGUUGGUGGGGUAAUGGCCCACCAAGGCGACGAUCGGUAGCUGGUCUGAGAGGAUGAUCAGCCACACUGGGACUGAGACACGGCCCAGACUCCUACGGGAGGCAG